UACGUAGGGUGCAAGCGUUGUCCGGAAUUAUUGGGCGUAAAGAGCUCGUAGGCGGUCUGUUGCGUCGGCUGUGAAAACCCGGGGCUCAACUCCGGGCCUGCAGCCGAUACGGGCAGACUAGAGUUCGGCAGGGGAGACUGGAAUUCCUGGUGUAGCGGUGAAAUGCGCAGAUAUCAGGAGGAACACCGGUGGCGAAGGCGGGUCUCUGGGCCGAAAUUGACGCUGAGGAGCGAAAGCGUGGGGAGCAAACAGG
rnacentral:rRNA from 1 species